rnacentral:rRNA from 1 species
GUCCACGCCCUAAACGAUGUCUACUAGUUGUUGGUGGAGUAAAAUCCAUGAGUAACGCAGCUAACGCGUGAAGUAGACCGCCUGGGGAGUACGGUCGCAAGAUUAAAACUCAAAUGAAUUGACGGGGGCCCCGCACAAGCGGUGGAUUAUGUGGAUUAAUUCGAUGCAACGCGAAAAACCUUACCUGGCCUUGACAUGUACGGAACUUUCCAGAGAUGGAUUGGUGCUCGAAAGAGAACCGUAACACAGGUGCUGCAUGGCUGUCGU